rnacentral:other from 1 species
UGGUGCCUGCGGUGACCGUUAGCUGACUGAGUACCCCUCGGGCCUUAAAUUGUAAUUAGGGGGCGGCCGUGUGAUGUUGUUGUGCAAGUCCGGAGUUGACCGGAAAGCCUGAUAUAUCCGCUAUGCUCCCACUUGAACCGAUUGGUUCAGGGGCUAUAGUUGGCGACGACAUCUCGGGUACCAC